UGCGUAGGCGGAAAAUUAAGUCAGUGGUGAAAUCCUGCAGCUCAACUGUAGAACUGUCAUUGAUACUGAUUUUCUUGAAUACAGUUGAGGUAGGCGGAAUGUGUAAUGUAGCGGUGAAAUGCUUAGAUAUUACACAGAACACCGAUUGCGAAGGCAGCUUACUAAGCUAUGAUUGACGCUGAGGUACGAAAGCGUGGGGAGCGAACAGGAUUAGAUACCCUGGUAGUCC
rnacentral:rRNA from 1 species